rnacentral:rRNA from 1 species
AUACGGAGGGUGCAAGCGUUACUCGGAAUCACCGGGCGUAAAGCGCGCGCAGGCGGUCUGUUAAGUUGGAUGUGAAAGCCUACGGCUCAACCGUAGAACUGCAUCCAAAACUAUUAGACUAGAGUGUGGGAGAGGAAGAUGGAAUUAGUUGUGUAGGGGUAAAAUCCGUAGAGAUAACUAGGAAUACCAAAAGCGAAGGCGAUCUUCUGGAACAGUACUGACGCUGAGGCGCGAAAGCGUGGGGAGCAAACAGGAUUAGAAACCCUAGUAGUCC